UACGGGGGGGGCAAGCGUUGUUCGGAAUUACUGGGCGUAAAGGCUCGUAGGCGGCCAACUAAGUCAGACGUGAAUCCCAGCUCAACCUGGGAACUGCGUCUGAUACUGGAUGGCUUGAAUUCGGGAGAGGGAUGCAGAAUUCCAGGUGUAGCGGUGAAAUGCGUAGAUAUCUGGAGGAAUACCGGUGGCGAAGGCGGCAUCCUGGACCGACAUUGACGCUGAGGAGCGAAAGCUAGGGGAGCAAACGGGG
rnacentral:rRNA from 1 species